UCGAGGGGCACAUAAUGAAGCUUUCGGGCUGAUUUGAUGGCGACCGGCGCACGGGUGCGUAACGCGUAUGCAACCUACCUAUGACAGGGGGAUAACACUGAGAAAUUGGUACUAAUACCCCAUAACACAUCGAGAGGCAUCUCUUGAUGUUGAAAGUUCCGGCGGUUAUAGAUGGGCAUGCGUUGUAUUAGUUAGUUGGUGAGGUAACGGCUCACCAAGACUACGAUACAUAGGGGGACUGAGAGGUUAACCCCCCACACUGGUACUGAGACACGGACCAGACUCCUACGGGAGGCAGCAGUGAGGAAUAUUGGUCAAUGGACGCAAGUCUGAACCAGCCAUGCCGCGUGCAGGAUGACGGCUCUAUGAGUUGUAAACUGCUUUUGUAUGAGGGUAAUAUCACCUACGUGUAGGUGCUUGAAAGUAUCAUACGAAUAAGGAUCGGCUAACUCCGUGCCAGCAGCCGCGGUAAUACGGAGGAUUCGAGCGUUAUCCGGAUUUAUUGGGUUUAAAGGGUGCGUAGGCGGUUUGAUAAGUUAGAGGUUAAAUGUCGGGGCUCAACCCCGUGCCUGCCUCUAAUACUGUUAGACUAGAGAGUAGUUGCUGUGGGCGGAAUGUAUGGUGUAGCGGUGAAAUGCUUAGAUAUCAUACAGAACACCGAUUGCGAAGGCAGCUCACAAAACUAUAUCUGACGUUGAUGCA
rnacentral:rRNA from 1 species